rnacentral:rRNA from 1 species
UUGAUCCUGGCUCAGAAUCAACGCUGGCGGCGUGCCUAACACAUGCAAGUCGAACGCGAAAGUCCCGCAAGGGAUCAGUAGAGUGGCAAACGGGUGAGUUACACGUGGGUGACCUGCCUUCGAGUGGGGGAUAACGUCCCGAAAGGGACUCUAAUACCGCAUGACAUCCUGCCUUUGAACAGGUGGAGAUCAAAGCUGGUGAUCGCAAGACCUAGCGCUUGAAGAGGGGCCCGCGUCUGAUUAGCUAGUUGGUGAGGUAACGGCUCACCAAGGCAACGAUCAGUAUCCGGCCUGAGAGGUCGGACGGACACACUGGGACUGAGACACGGCCCAGACUCCUACGGGAGGCUGCAGUGGGGAAUUGUUCGCAAUGGGCGCAAGCCUGACGACGCAACGCCGUGUGGAGGAUGAAGACCUUCGGGUCGUAAACUCCUUUCGAUCGAGACGAAUGGCUUCCGGGCGAAUAUCCCGGGAGAUUGACGGUACCGAGAGAAGAAGCUCCGGCUAACUCCGUGCCAGCAGCCGCGGUAAUAAGGU